CGUUUCCUCUCAGACACUUGGACUAUAUAAACUUUCUGAUUUUUUUUUCACAGCAAAUUAAAAAAAUGAGAUGUGAUAUUUUUUAUGUAAAAUUGGAACACCUUGUGGUGGUAAUCCAGUUAAAGGGGAGGUCAUAUUUUGUUAAAUAAAUCACACUGAAGAUGUA